UACGUAGGGGGCAAGCGUUGUCCGGAUUUAUUGGGCGUAAAGAGCGUGUAGGCGGCCAGGUAGGUCAGCUGUGAAAACUCGAGGCUCAACCUCGAGACGCCGGUUGAAACCAUCUGGCUAGAGUCCGGAAGAGGAGAGUGGAAUUCCUGGUGUAGCGGUGGAAUGCGCAGAUAUCAGGAAGAACACCCGUGGCGAAGGCGGCUCUCUGGAACGCAACUGACGCUGAGACGCGAAAGCGUGGGGAGCAAACAGG
rnacentral:rRNA from 1 species